rnacentral:tRNA from 1 species
GGGUAUGGCUCAGUGGUAGAGCACAUGCUUAGCAUGCAUGAGGUCCUGGGUUCAAUCCCCAGUACUUCCA